rnacentral:lncRNA from 1 species
UAUUAUCACAUUUCACCAUAACUACUCACUAGGAGUUUACAUCUUCUAAACAUUCAUCAAAACUAGGUUGUCAUAAUAACCUUUAUUUAAUCAUCUCAGAUUCUACUCGUACACAACGAGUUUACACUAUUUCAUAUCCAUCAUCACAUUCUACCACAACAUUACUCUGAAGAGUUUAAAAAAAAAACUUUUCAUAUCUGUCUGAGGGAUCAUAAAAA